AUGAAAGGAUUUAUUGAUGAUGCAAACUACUCUGUUGGCCCGUUGGAUGAAGGAACAAACCUUGGAAAUGUUAUUGAUAACUAUGUUUAUGAACAUAGUCUGAUGGGGAAAAAAUGCAUUUUUUGUGGGAGAUCUUGGAAAGAUUGUGAAGAAACACAGUCAAUGGCAGCAUGUAAGUGGCUCAGAUACAGCCAUUCUACACAGUGAAAUGCAACUCUACUCCAGCUGUGCUUGAGAUUUUGGCAGCACUUGAAACUGGAUUUGCUUGUUCCAGUAAAAAUAAAAUGGCUUUACUGCAAGAAUUGGGUGUAUCUCCAGAAAAUAUUAUUUACAUAAGUCCUUGCAAGCAAGUGUCUCAGAUAAAGUAUGCAGCAAAAAUUGGAGAGAAUAUCAUGACACGUGACAAUGAAAUUGAAUUGAAGAAGAUUGCACGUAAUCACCCAAAUGCCAAGGUCUUACUACAUAUUGCAACAUAAGAAAAUAUUGGAGGGGAAGAGGGUAACAUGAAGUUUGGUACUACACUGAAGAAAUGUAAGCAUCUCUUGGAAUGUGCUAAGGAACUUGAUGUACAAAUAAUUGGGGUUAAAUUUCAUGUUUCAAGUGCUCGCAAAGAAUCUCAAGCAUAUGUACAUGUGCUGUCUGAUGCUCAAUGUGUGUUUAACAUGGCUGGAGAAUUUGGCUUUACAAUGAACAUGUUAGACAUUGGUGGAGGCUUCAGAGGAACUUAAUUGCAAUUGGAAGAGGUUAAUCAUGUUAUCAGCUCUCUGUUGGGUAUCUACUUUCCUGAAGGAUCUGGCAUUAAGAUUAUUUCAGAACCUGGAAGCUACUAUGUGUCUUCUAUAUUUACACUUGCAGUUAAUAUCAUAGCAAAGAAAGUUGUUGAAAAUGAUAAAUUUUCCUUUGGAGUAGAAAAAAACGGAAGUGAUGAACCAGCCUUCAUGUAUCAUAUGAAUGAUGGUGUUUAUGAUUCUUUUGCAAGUAAACUGUCUGAGGACUUAAAUACCAUUCCACAGGUUCACAAGAAAUACAAGGAAGAUGAGCCUCUGUUUACAAGCAGCAUUUGGGGUUCAUCCUGUGAUGAGCUUGAUCAAAUUGUGGAAAGCUGUCUUCUUCCUGAGCUGAAUGUGGGAGAUUGGCUUAUCUUUGAAAACAUGGGAACAGAUUCUUUCCAUAAACCAUCUGCUUUUAAUGAUUUUCAGAGGCCAGCUAUUUAUUACAUGAUGCCAUUCAGUGAUUGGUAUGAGAUGCAAGAUGCUGGAAUUAAUUCAGACACAAUGAUGAAGAACUUCUUCUUUGUGCCUUCUUGCAUUCAGGUGAGCCAAGAAGACAACUUUUCCACGGAAGCUCAAACAAGCAUUAACGCUUCUUUAGAUCUGAAGUUGCAGGUUAAGCUUGUCUGGUCGACAUUCCAGUGUGGAAAAAAAUUCAAACAAUCUUAUUCUGUUAAUUCUCUUGGAAACAAAAAUUAUUAGUAAUAGCUAUUUGGGACCAGACAAAGUCAGCUUUCAUCUAGAAUUCAUUGGGGGUAAUGGGAAAUUUAGAUAAUGUAUCCAGAUUUAAACUUUACAGUUUGUCCUACCCCUUAAGCAUUUAAAAUAAAAUAUGCAACAAAAUGGAUGACUUAGUGGAGAUGGAAGCCCAUUAGUUGGGUUCCCCAUUAAACUGUUUACAUACAAGUACACAGUUUUUAUACCAAGGAUUAAAAUGUUAAACCAAGACAUGUUAAAAUGUCUUGUAAAGUUAAUGUCUUUCACCCAGAUAUAUCCAAUGUCAGUGGAAGACCAGUGUGACUUCAUUAGAUAUGUUUAGUGUGUUUAGAAUGUGUAAAUUUGUGCUUUGAACUGUAGUUUAAUAAAUGUAAAAUUGCACCAUCUUAUUUGUUGUAUUUGACCUAAUGUAACCCUUGUAUGAUUGCAAUAAAAUUUUGU